CUACGGGUGGCAGCAGUGAGGAAUAUUGCACAAUGGGCGGAACCCUGAUGCAGCAACGCCGCGUGGAGGAUGACGCAUUUCGGUGUGUAAACUCCUUUUAUAUGUCAAGAAAAUGACGGUAGCAUAUGAAUAAGCACCGGCUAACUCCGUGCCAGCAGCCGCGGUAAUACAGAGGGUGCAAGCGUUACUCGGAAUCACUGGGCGUAAGGGACGCGUAGGCGGGUUGGAAAGUCAGGUGUGAAAUCCUACAGCUUAACUGUAGAACUGCACUUGAAACUUCUAAUCUAGAGUAUGGGAGGGGGAGAUGGAAUUAGUGGUGUAGGGGUAAAAUCCGUAGAUAUCACUAGGAAUACCUAAAGCGAAGGCGAUCUCCUGGAACAUUACUGACGCUAAGGCGUGAAAGCGUGGGGAGCAAACAGGAUUAGAUACCCUCGUAGUC
rnacentral:rRNA from 1 species